rnacentral:lncRNA from 1 species
AAACCGGGUUCUGGUGCCGAUUCCUGAUAAAUGACCUCUGCACUCGUGCGUGUGCGUGUGUGUGUAGAGUGUGUGUGACGUCAGCUCACACGUGAUCCUCCUAUUCUGUCGACUGUCUCUUCAGAUCGUCAUCAUCAGGAACCAUCAGGCGGUUCUUUGCUUCCUCUGGAAUUAUGGGCUGUUUGGACGCUGCGGCCCUUCCGCGCGCCCCCUCUUCCGCGCGCCUCCUCUUCCGUGCACCGCCUCUAAUCCACCUGCAGGCGUGAGAGAAGGCUGAUCCUGCGCGCACGCGCACUCGCGCAUGUGCCCGUCCUGCAGGACUUCAUCAGAUUACAACAUCCGAAAACUUGCGCAGCCGAACCGGGGCUCUAAGUAAAGCCGCCGCCGCGCUGCGUGCGCGCCGCCAGGGGGCGCGCUCGCGGACUCGCGCACUCGCGGAGCGUCGCUGCUACAGAACCCCCCUCAGAAGCCGCUGCACACACUCGGACCAACACGGCCGCAGAUCCCCGGACAGCAUGUUCUGCAGACGGGCAUGGCAGAGGGUCGCGCCCCUGACGCGGAGGACGUUCGAACCCGCAACCAGAAACGUUCGGGCGCGGAAAAUGUCUUUCGGGGUUCCUGGUGGCUCCUUCAACACCACAUACUUUGUCCUGUGUGGGGGGGGGCUCACAGCUGCCCUCGUCUACGCCUACAAGACCAUCAACAGUGAUACAGAACGCUAUGAGAACAGACUCGCCAGUAUGGGCUCCACAGCUAAGGGUCAGUUCUAACACACACACACACGCACACACACACACACACACACACCCUGAGCAUAAACUAUGGCUUCACAUUUCCUAGUGUGCUCAUUUUGAGCGCCUCGCUUACAUUCAAGGGUUGGGGCUAACACAGGAACCCUCAAAGUUAAAAGUUUAGAAGAAGAGUGACCACGGAGACGGAGCGUCGGCCUUCAGAACGCUCCGAUGAAGGCAGCAGCCUUUGAGGGUGAAACCACGGUGGGAUGACCAGUCUCAAUAGCUUCAUCCUGCCUGUCUGUUUCGAUAUCUGUCUGAAAAUGAUGAGUCUGUUCAGCCAGUGUGGACCCAGGGACGCCGUGGCGCUGGGCCCAGGACGCCGUGGCGCUGGGCCCAGGGACGCCGUGGCUCUGAGCCCAGGCUACCAGCUCGCCGGUCAUUGGCAGAAUCGGCUGCUGUUCCUGGGUCAGGGUACAUUCUGCCUCAAAGUUUAGGUUUGGUCUCAAAUGGGCCGCGAAUGUGCUGCCUUUACUUUCAACUGCCCAGUGCCCGUAUGAUAUAAGCAAGGAAAUCUGGUCAGGAAAUGUUUGCAGAAACACCUUGAUGAACGCGGUGAUAAUUGAUCAUAAUCAGGGUUCAGACUGUCCUUAAAACAUCUAAACAUAAAGCAGCCUGAACACGUCAUCACUGACCACCACAGAUGAAAGAUGAAGAAAUAAACUAAAUAAUUAUAAUAAAAUCAUCCAGUUUUCAGUUCACAUACCAGAUGGCAUGAGCGUGCGCUAAUGGACUU